rnacentral:misc_RNA from 1 species
UUUCCGUAGGUGAACCUGCGGAAGGAUCAUUAUUGUAUAACCGAGGUGCGAGGGCCGUCGCUGACCCGAAAGGUCGUGCACGCCCGAGUGCCCUCACACACAUCCAUCUCACCCCUAUGUGCACCACCGCGUGGUUCCCCCUUUGGCUUGUUCGGAGGGGGGCUUACGUUUUCACACAAACUUUGUAUGCAGUGUAGAAUGUAUUUUUUGUUUUUGCGAUCACGCAAUCAAUACAACUUUCAACAACGGAUCUCUUGGCUCUC